UCCCUUAUGAAUCAGAUGGUAAAUAAUCUGCCUUCAAUGCAGGAAUCUCAGGUUUGAUCCCUGGUUUGGGAA
rnacentral:tRNA from 1 species